AGCUGCUGAAGCUGCUGACUUAUCCACAGCUUCUCUUCUUCUUUAAUGUCCUCCUGGUCAACACUCAGAUUCCAUUGCUGGUGUUCAGGGAGAGCUUCUUCUUUCAUCACCAGCAAUGGCUUAAUCUCUGCUUGUAAAUGACUGU